CGGACCAACCAAACGUCGUGCACCGUGCACUUCGUCUUGCGAGCCAUGGAUGCUGCCGCUAGGAGCGAGAAACCCUCCCAGCACCGCCAUCCUCACCACGCUCGGCAGCCACGCCCUCCGUCGAGGCUUCAUCCUGCUGCUCCAGCGCAUAGCCCUCCGUUGAGCUUGGCCUCAGCCUCUUCAGCCCCACCCCCACCCCCCGCGUCGCACGGGCCACGCAAAGCCAUGAGGGCCCCGCUAGCUGCCAUCCGGCCAUGCGUGCCCCGCUUCCGCUUCGCUGGGCUGCAACCCCGCGCAGACCACGCCCCCGGCCGCAGUUUUGUCUAGCUGUCGAGCCACGGGACCACACCGCUAGCCGCCACUGCCCCGCCCGGUCACCAAGAAGCGAGGACAGCUAGAUCGGUGCACUCUCGGCCCCUGCGCUGAGCUGAGUGCCGCCAUUGGGUGAGGCGGAGCGUAUUUGGGGUCCGCUAAGGCAGCGCCGGCGCCGUCGAUGGGCGCAUCAACUGCGGCCGUGGCCGCGGCAACCAGUAUCACGAAGCGGCGCCCCUCGGCCGCCAACUGUGCCCUUUGUCCUUAUCUAUCUACUCAGCCUGGUUCAGAGCCCCCUCGCUCCCUCUCCCAGUCCCGAUCCCUAGCCAGAUCUAGGGUGUCCUCUCUUCAACACUUGAGUUGUUCGCUGUUCGAAGCCUACUUAAAGCUCUCGGAUUGUUUUGCCUUGGUUUGACAUAGAGCUGUUUGUACUGUUUCAGACGUGCUGCUGGUCACAAUGGUGUCGGCGAUCUCAGACCAUGAAAGGGGCUCUCUACGUGCUUCCUUGCAUCUGACGUCCGAAACGUGCAUAUUCUCAUAUCUCAUGCUUCCUUCGGCUAUGCUUUGUGUGCCAACAAAAAUCAUCCUUUCCUGGGAGCGUCGUGAACAGGAGCAGCAGGAUUUAAACUUUUUCAGAAUACUCUGAAUGUUUUUGAACAUCUGGUUACACAAGAGUGGUAGAGGCACUGCUGUGGAUGAGAAGCAAACGAGAGAAGAAGACGACAGUAUAGAUUUUGCUGCUGUGUGACCCUCCUCCGCCUCUCCCCUGACGCCAUCGUGCUGCCCCUUCCUACAGCACGUGAAGUAAGAAAUUGCUUACACCACCAUGCAUCUCCAGCCUCCUUUUUUUCUUCUUUUAUGUUUCACUUGAUAAAUUGUACCUGAUGUUAUAAGGCUUCAUAUUUCUAAUGCGCAAUUUGUUCCAUGUGGCCAUGUGAACAAUCUAUGUAGAAAGAUGAUUGCUAUAUACAAAAUGUCAAGUAUUGUUACUUCCUUUUGUUCAAGAAUACAAAACAAGCAUGAUUUAUGCAAUACACGAGUAUAUUUUAUUUUUAUAUUAUAAAACAAAGAGAGAAUUACAAGUUUACACUUUUGUUUUUCUGUUUGUUCUUCUCAACAUGUUAUUCUUAGUACUAAGCAGUGAUUGAAGCCAUAAAAAAUAUAUCCAUAUUCCCUCUGAAUUAGAAUUUGAGUUAUGGACUUAUGAUGCUUAGGUUUGGAUCAGAUCAAACCAUCUUACAAAUCAGUUUUUAAUCCCAGGGCUUCAUAAAAUUAGUUCAGCCUCUAGUUUUCUUGCCCAAAGUGGUUAUGCUAGGAUUGGGUCAUGUACAGUUCUACAUUCAAAUAGAAUGUGUGAUUACCCAUAAUGCUUAGAAAUUAGUUACUGCUGUAUAAUGCCUUGACUGAAUUUGACUGUAUAAUGCUUUGGCUGAAUUUUAAGUGCAGGCAAAUUCAGUCUUAGAAAUAUAUUGAUGCAUACUAUUCUGCUGCAAAUUUAGUGGAGCUUAAAUCAUAAAAAUUGGAUAUAUGCACAUCUAUGAUAGUAUAAUAUCUAGCAAUUCCGCAAGUGCAAUUCUUAUCAUUUAUUUUUUUUCCUUUCUCAAAGCCACAUAUCGUUAAGAUAAAGCAGAAGGGUCUUUGGCAAUCAAAUACUUUGGGAAAUGUAGCCUUGGUUGAUCUUUUAGGCAGGGAAUAACAAUUCUGUUUCUUUUUUGUUUCUUUU